GUCUGUGGCUGCACCACCCUGCACGUACCCGAUCUCGUCAAAUCUCAGAAGCAAAGCAGGGUUGGGACCUGGUUAGUACUUGGAUAGGAGGCCUUACAACAGACU
ensembl:rRNA 5S_rRNA 5S ribosomal RNA